rnacentral:rRNA from 1 species
UACGAAGGGGGCUAGCGUUGCUCGGAAUCACUGGGCGUAAAGCGCGCGUAGGCGGACCUGCAAGUCGGGGGUGAAAGCCCGAGGCUCAACCUCGGAACUGCCUUCGAUACUGCGGGUCUCGAGUCCGGGAGAGGUGAGUGGAAUUCCUAGUGUAGAGGUGAAAUUCGUAGAUAUUAGGAAGAACACCAGUGGCGAAGGCGGCUCACUGGCCCGGUA